rnacentral:tRNA from 1 species
GGUCCCUUCGACUAAUAGGAACAGGUCCUCGCUUUCUCAAAGCGGGUAUGCCGGUUCGAACCCGGCAGGGAUCACCA